AAUCAACGCUGGCGGCGUGCCUAACACAUGCAAGUCGAGCGAGAAAGGGGCUUCGGCCCUGAGUAAAGCGGCGCACGGGUGAGUAACACGUGGGUAAUCUGCCCUAGAGUGGGGGAAUAACGUCGGGAAACCGACGCUAAUACCGCAUACGAUCAUUGGGUCUUCGGAUUCGAUGAUGAAAGGAGCAAUCCGCUCUUGGAGGAGCCCGCGGCUGAUUAGCUAGUUGGAAGGUAAUGGCUUACCAAGGCAACGAUCAGUAUCCGGUCUGAGAGGACGGUCGGACACACUGGAACUGAGACACGGUCCAGACUCCUACGGGAGGCAGCAGUGGGGGAAUUUUUCG
rnacentral:rRNA from 1 species